rnacentral:rRNA from 1 species
UACGAAGGGGGCUAGCGUUGCUCGGAAUCACUGGGCGUAAAGCGCACGUAGGCGGGUCUUUAAGUCAGGGGUGAAAUCCCGGAGCUCAACUCCGGAACUGCCUUCGAUACUGCGGGUCUCGAGUCCGGGAGAGGUGAGUGGAAUUCCUAGUGUAGAGGUGAAAUUCGUAGAUAUUAGGAAGAACACCAGUGGCGAAGGCGGCUCACUGGCCCGGUACUGACGCUGAGGCGCGAAAGCGUGGGGAGCAAACAGG